GGGGGCCCCCGCGUUGCUGCGGCUGCGCCGGGGCUGGAGGAGUUGGGAGAUUGCGCGAGCCAUGAAGGUGUUCUGGGGGCUUGCUGCUCCAAGAAGACAGGGAGGGCCUUGCCAGUGCAGGCAGACGUGUGGAGGCAGCUGAUGUGGACUCUGACAGGAGAGGAAUUCCCUGCUGCUGAUCAGAAGUUUUGGAGCAGGGCCACAAGCACUGAGAUCUGGGACUGUGCCACUCAACAGGAACAACCCCCCCUGACCCAGAAUCUCCUCAGGAGGAAGGUUCACCUCUUGGUACAUCACAAAGGAGGCAGAUUUAGGGUCUCUGGCAUCUGGAGGUGAGGGAGCUGUGGCUGUGCAGCAGAAAACAUAUUCCUGGCACCAAUUCUCUUCAGGGUCUGCUUGCCACAAAAUGUUCCAUCUGCCUCAGAGGUAAAACAUCUGCUGCCUGUUGGCACUUCUGUUGGCACUUCUUGUGCUGCAAGUGAUGGAAGAGGUGGAAUCCCAACCACUUGGCUUCUUGGAUCAUUGGGGAAGAAGAUGGAUGGAUCUGUUUUUCUUUCAUACAGAGUUUUUAUUCUCAUCUGAAGCUUAUAGGAGAGAAAAGGAACUGAUUCACCCACUAUGCUGUAAACAAAGUACCCAGAACUGAGCAGUUUUUAAAUGUUGAUGAUGCAGACUGAUGGGGAAGAUCAUGGACACAAUUGCUUGGCCUCUUCCUUCUCAGAUU